rnacentral:ncRNA from 1 species
CGCUGAGCAUGCAGAAGUCAGCAGAGGCCAUAGUAGCCGAGAGGUGAAGGGC